UAAGUUCCCUGCCCUUUGUACACACCGCCCGUCGCUACUACCGAUUGAAUGGCUUAGUGAGGUCUUGGGAUUGGCUUCGGGGAGCCGGCAACGGCACCCUGUCGCUGAGAACUUGAUCAAACUUGGUCAUUUAGAGGAAGUAAAAGUCGUAACAAGGUUUCCGUAGGUGAACCUGCGGAAGGAUCAUUAUCGAGUUUUGAAACGGGUUGUAGCUGGCCUCUCCGGAGGCAUGUGCACGCCCUGCUCAUCCACUCUACACCUGUGCACUUACUGUGGGUAUCGGAAGGCGUCGCGUCGUUUACGGCGAGGCGUUAACCGUGCCUACGUCUUACUACAAACGCUUCAGUAUCAGAAUGUGUAUUGCGAUGUAACGCAUCUAUAUACAACUUUCAGCAACGGAUCUCUUGGCUCUCGCAUCGAUGAAGAACGCAGCGAAAUGCGAUAAGUAAUGUGAAUUGCAGAAUUCAGUGAAUCAUCGAAUCUUUGAACGCACCUUGCGCUCCUUGGUAUUCCGAGGAGCAUGCCUGUUUGAGUGUCAUGAAAUUCUCAAACCCAUAAGUCUUUGCGGGCUUACGGGCUUUGGACUUGGAGGCUUUGUCGGCGACCGCGAGGUCUGUCGACUCCUCUCAAAUGCAUUAGCUUGAUUCCUUGCGGAUCGGCUCUCGGUGUGAUAAUUGUCUACGCCGUGACCGUGAAGCGUUUUGGCGAGCUUCUAAUCGUCUCGUACGAGACAGCUUACAUUGACCUCUGACCUCAAAUCAGGUAGGACUACCCGCUGAACUUAAGCAUAUCAAUAAGCGGAGGAAAAGAAACUAACAAGGAUUCCCCUAGUAACUGCGAGUGAAGCGGGAAAAGCUCAAAUUUAAAAUCUGGCGGUCUUUGGCCGUCCGAGUUGUAGUCUGGAGAAGUGCUUUCCGCGCUGGACCGUGUAUAAGUCUCUUGGAACAGAGCGUCAUAGAGGGUGAGAAUCCCGUCUUUGACACGGACUACCAGUGCUUUGUGAUGCGCUCUCGAAGAGUCGAGUUGUUG
rnacentral:rRNA from 1 species